CCUACGGGAGGCAUCAGUGAGGAAUAUUGGUCAAUGGACGAGAGUCUGAACCAGCCAAGUAGCGUGAAGGAUGACUGCCCUAUGGGUUGUAAACUUCUUUUAUAUGGGAAUAAAAUGUUCCACGUGUGGGAUUUUGUAUGUACCAUAUGAAUAAGGAUCGGCUAACUCCGUGCCAGCAGCCGCGGUAAUACGGAGGAUCCGAGCGUUAUCCGGAUUUAUUGGGUUUAAAGGGAGCGUAGGUGGAUUGUUAAGUCAGUUGUGAAAGUUUGCGGUUCAACCGUAAAACUGCAGUUGAAACUGGCAGUCUUGAGUACAGUAGAGGUGGGCGGAAUUCGUGGUGUAGCGGUGAAAUGCUUAGAUAUCACGAAGAACUCCGAUUGCGAAGGCAGUUCACUGGACUGCAACUGACACUGAGGCUCGAAAGUGUGGGUAUCAAACAGGAUUAGAUACCCCAGUAGUC
rnacentral:rRNA from 1 species